UACGUAGGGUGCGAGCGUUAAUCGGAAUUACUGGGCGUAAAGAGUGCGCAGGCGGUUUUGCAAGACCGAUGUGAAAUCCCCGGGCUUAACCUGGGAACUGCAUUGGUGACUGCAAGGCUAGAGUGUGUCAGAGGGAGGUGGAACUCCGCAUGUAGCAGUGAAAUGCGUAGAUAUGCGGAAGAACACCGAUGGCGAAGGCAGCCUCCUGGGAUAACACUGACGCUCAUGCACGAAAGCGUGGGGAGCAAACAGG
rnacentral:rRNA from 1 species